GUUCAAAUGCCUUCGGGACAUAGCCCGGUUAUAGUAACUCGCACAAAUGCCUUCGGGACUUAACUCGGAUUUAGUAACUCGCACCAAUGCCUUCGGGCUUAGCCCGGAAUUAGUAACUCGCACAAAUGCCUUCGGAUCUUAGUCCGGAUAUGGUCACUUAGCACAAAGCCUUCGGGACUUAGCCCGGACAUCAUUCGAAUAACCAUGCACAUUUAACAAUAAAUCAU
rnacentral:lncRNA from 1 species